AGCGACAGGCUUAACACAUGCAAGUCGAGGGGCAGCGGUGGUGAAGGCUUGCCUUUACCAGCCGGCGACCGGCGCACGGGUGAGUAACACGUAUGCAACCUGCCUGCCACAGCCGGAUAAUCGGGAGAAAUUCCGUCUAAUACGGCAUAAUGCACCUAUGGGACAUCCUGUUGGUGCCAAAGGUUGAUUCCGGUGGCGGAUGGGCAUGCGUCGCAUUAGUUAGUUGGCGGUGUAACGGACCACCAAGACGACGAUGCGUAGGGGUUCUGAGAGGAAGGUCCCCCACACUGGUACUGAGACACGGACCAGACUCCUACGGGAGGCAGCAGUGAGGAAUAUUGGUCAAUGGGCGGGAGCCUGAACCAGCCAAGUCGCGUGAGGGAUGACGGCCCUAUGGGUUGUAAACCUCUUUUGCCGGGGAGCAAAGUGCCGCACGUGUGCGGUUUGGAGAGUACCCGGAGAAAAAGCAUCGGCUAACUCCGUGCCAGCAGCCGCGGUAAUACGGAGGAUGCGAGCGUUAUCCGGAUUUAUUGGGUUUAAAGGGUGCGUAGGCGGACGCUUAAGUCAGCGGUAAAAUUGCGGGGCUCAACCUCGUCGAGCCGUUGAAACUGGGUGCCUUGAGUGGGCGAGAAGUACGCGGAAUGCGUGGUGUAGCGGUGAAAUGCAUAGAUAUCACGCAGAACUCCGAUUGCGAAGGCAGCGUACCGGCGCCCAACUGACGCUGAAGCACGAAGGCGUGGGUAUCGAACAGGAUUAGAUACCCUGGUAGUCCACGCAGUAAACGAUGAAUGCUAGUUGUCCGGGGCGAUUGAGUUCUGGGUGACACAGCGAAAGCGUUAAGCAUUCCACCUGGGGAGUACGCCGGCAACGGUGAAACUCAAAGGAAUUGACGGGGGCCCGCACAAGCGGAGGAACAUGUGGUUUAAUUCGAUGAUACGCGAGGAACCUUACCCGGGCUCAAACGCAGGAGGGAUGUUUUUGAAAGGAGGCAGCCAGCAAUGGUCUCCUGCGAGGUGCUGCAUGGUUGUCGUCAGCUCGUGCCGUGAGGUGUCGGCUUAAGUGCCAUAACGAGCGCAACCCCUACCUACAGUUGCCAUCGCGUGAUGGCGGGCACUCUGUGGGGACUGCCUGCGCAAGCAGUGAGGAAGGCGGGGAUGACGUCAAAUCAGCACGGCCCUUACGUCCGGGGCGACACACGUGUUACAAUGGCAGGUACAGCGGGAAGCCACCCGGCGACGGGGCGCGGAACCCGAAAACCUGUCUCAGUUCGGAUUGGAGUCUGCAACCCGACUCCAUGAAGCUGGAUUCGCUAGUAAUCGCGCAUCAGCCACGGCGCGGUGAAUACGUUCCCGGGCCUUGUACACACCGCCCGUCAAG
rnacentral:rRNA from 1 species